rnacentral:lncRNA from 1 species
GCAAGCUGAAGUGGUGGACCAGACUGUCAGUACUCAGCAAGGUGGUUAGGGCCUCAAGAGUACCAGCCAGGGCUAUGUGUGUGCACUUCCUAGGCGAUGCUUCCACUGGCCCCUUGUGCAUUAGUCUCCUGUCUGGAUGGUAAUUACCCCCAUCCAUGCUGGAAUCCUGUGACACCACCACAUCAGAGGGAAGAGGAGAGGCGCUAAUCCCCGAGUGAAUGGAGAGUCUCCAUCUUCAUCUGCCUUGCUUGAUUUCCACAAAUGCCUCGGUCACAGGGAAACUUCAUGUGAUUUCUCAUCAAGGAUGGAACGUGGGAUUCUGAGCAGGACUGCAUUGUUGCCUUCUGGCCUGGGAAGACGUCAGGUGGAUUGCUUCUUCCCUUCUAAUAUUUGUUCAACAAUCACUUCACCAGUGAGGUAA